rnacentral:rRNA from 1 species
GAUGAACGCUGGCGGCGUGCCUAAUACAUGCCAGUCGAGCGAACAGACGAGGAGCUUGCUCCUCUGACGUUAGCGGCGGACGGGUGAGUAACACGUGGAUAACCUACCUAUAAGACUGGGAUAACUUCGGGAAACCGGAGCUAAUACCGGAUAACAUGUUGAACCGCAUGGUUCAACAGUGAAAGACGGUCUUGCUGUCGCUUAUAGAUGGAUCCGCGCCGCAUUAGCUAGUUGGUAAGGUAACGGCUUACCAAGGCAACGAUGCGUAGCCGACCUGAGAGGGGGAUCGGCCACACUGGAACUGAGACACGGUCCAGACUCCUACGGGAGGCAGCAGUAGGGAAUCUUCCGCAAUGGGCGAAAGCCUGACGGAGCAACGCCGCGUGAGUGAAGAAGGUCUUCGGAUCGUAAAACUCUGUUAUUAGGGAAGAACAAAUGUGUAAGUAACUAUGCACGUCUUGACGGUACCUAAUCAGAAAGCCACGGCUAACUACGUG